ACUUGUACCUGGUGGCGAGUGGCGAACGGGUGAGUAAUACAUCGGAACGUACCUUAUCGUGGGGGAUAACGCAGCGAAAGCUGUGCUAAUACCGCAUACGCCCUGAGGGGGAAAGCGGGGGAUCGAAAGACCUCGCGCGAUUAGAGCGGCCGAUGCUUGAUUAGCUUGUUGGUGGGGUAAAAGCCCACCAAGGCGACGAUCAAUAGCUGGUCUGAGAGGACGAUCAGCCACACUGGGACUGAGACACGGCCCAGACUCCUACGGGAGGCAGCGGUGGGGAAUUUUGGACAAUGGGGGCAACCCUGAUCCAGCAAUGCCGCGUGAGUGAAGAAGGCCUUCGGGUUGUAAAGCUCUUUUGUCAGGGAAGAAACACCGGCUCUAACACAGUCCGGGAAUGACGGUACCUGAAGAAUAAGCACCGGCUAAC
rnacentral:rRNA from 1 species